rnacentral:rRNA from 1 species
GCAAGUCGAACGGAACGACGAAAACAAUCCCUUCGGGGUGCGUCUUCGGGCGUCGAGUGGCGGACGGUUGCGUAACGCGUAGGAAUCUACCUUAUAGUGGGGGACAACUCGAGGAAACCCGAGCUAAUACCGCAUAAUCCUUACGAGGGAAAGCAGGGGAUCUUCGGACCUUGUGCUAUUGGAUGAGCCUGCGUGGGAUUAGCUUGUUGGUAGGGUAAUGGCUUACCAAGGCAACGAUCCGUAGCUGGUCUGAGAGGAUGACC